rnacentral:rRNA from 1 species
UGGGGAAUAUUGGGCAAUGGGCGAAAGCCUGACCCAGCGACGCCGUGUGGGCGAUGAAGGCCUUCGGGUUGUAAAGCCCUGUGAGGUGGAAAGAAGGGUCCAGAGGUUAAUACCCUUUGGACUUUGACGGUACCACCAGAGGAAGCACCGGCUAACUCCGUGCCAGCAGCCGCGGUAAUACGGAGGGUGCAAGCGUUGUUCGGAAUUACUGGGCGUAAAGGGCGCGUAGGUGGUUGUGUAAGUCAGAUGUGAAAUCCUUAGGCUUAACCUGAGAACUGCAUCUGAUACUGCAUGACUCGAGUACAGCAGAGGGAAACGGAAUUCCUGGUGUAGAGGUGAAAUUCGUAGAUAUCAGGAGGAACACCAGUGGCGAAGGCGGCUUCCUGGUCUGUAACUGACACUGAGGCACGAAAGCGUGGGGAGCAAACA